UACAGAGGCGGCAAGCGUUGGUCGGAAUUAUUGGGCGUAAAGAGCACGUAGGCGGCUGUGUAAGUCGGUUGUGAAAGCCUUCCGCUCAACGGAAGAACGGCAGCCGAUCCUGCAUGGCUUGAGUGCGGGAGGGGAGAGUGGAACUUCUGGUGGAGCGGUGAAAUGCGUAGAUAUCAGAAGGAACGCCGGCGGCGAAAGCGGCUCUCUGGCCCAUAACUGACGCUGAGUGUGCGAAAGCUAGGGGAGCAAACGGG
rnacentral:rRNA from 1 species